CAGCAUGCCGCGCGGCGGCGCCUUGACGUAAUCGGCGCGCGACACGCCCGCCUCGUCCUCAUGGCAACGGCGGCGCCACCGACCCGCGGCCGCGGCAGCCGGGCGCUCCCCGCGCAGCCCCGCACGCCCUGCGACAGCUGUGUAGGAGGCGACCGCAAGUGACCGCCACACGCUGAGCACGGACCCAGAGGCGAGCCCGAGCGCCACAGCUGCGCACAGGCGCUAACAGAUCUCGAGGACAAAGCUGCCCGUUUAUGGCCGAGCUGAUGUGACAACCUGCAGUCCUGUCCUGCUCUGCACCCUGCCUCCCACCCUGCACCUGACUCUGGAGCUCAUGAGACCUGAUCAUCAUGACAUUGACUUUUCCUGUUGCACUUUACUCUAGAUUCACGAGCUGAACUGGCUUGCAGAGGCCCUGAUGAACACCGAAGCUAGUGUGUGGACGUUUCCGGGAACUAGCAGUUCCACCUAAUCCAGCCUUUUGCAGUCUGUGCUGUAUGUAAGUACUCAGUGAAACCUACUGCCUAAAACAUGAGUUUCCCUGAUGCAGAAAUUGGGCACCUAAAAGAGAUGACUGAAAAAAUUGCACAAUGUUUUGCCAGAGGAGCUAGAGUUUGGAGGAGUUUGGAGCCAGUCAGGAUUUCAUUUCUAGGCUAUCUUACUGAACAAGCAUAGCCCAGAUGUUUUUAGUAAACGGCUCUCAAAACUCACAGUUGAGAUCAGUGUCAAAUUUCUAGCCGCAUGAUCUGCCUUGGAGCCAAGUUUGGGGUUGCUUUUGUGUUUACAUAAUGUCUUUGAGCUGAGUUACACAGAAGUUUGUGGGUGGGAUGGAAAUUCUCCAUAACAGAUAUUUGACUGGAUGCACAUUUUAUCUUGUUUAUGGGACUUUGAGCUUUGAAAAAGAGUUACUGUUUUUUUGGCCAUGUAAAACAGGACUUUGAGCUUCAAAAAAAAAACCCAUUGUUGUACUUUUGUCCGUGCAAUAUUUGAGGCAUAUUUAGCUAUCUCUUGCUGACUGGAUCUGGACCAAAGUUUGUGUUGCUUUCUGUUCAGCUUUCAGAGCUGUGGUUGUUCUAGCCACAACGGUCUAAACUAAUGUGGAAGAAAAAAGCAUUUUAGAGCAAGAGAGGAAGUCCCAAUUAAAAGCAGAGUUUGAGACAGCUGCUAGUACGUAAUGUUUCCUAAAGCAGUGGUGAUGCAGUAACUCACGUGGAGCCGGACUAAGACCACACUUAGACUUUCAGAAGAUUUUCCUGCCCUUGCCACUUCCCAGUGAUAGCUGCUCUGCAGAAGAUGAGCUGACGGCACUCAUUUCUGAACUGUAGACAAAUCAGGCUGUUACUUUGCUCCAUUUCUUUCCUUUCACAAAUACUUUUAUAAGCUGAAGGACUUCCUAAAUGUGUCCCUGUCACGUACUUCCUGAACCGUAUCUGCAGUUGAUAAAUGAGGCAUUGUGCAUCUCUGAACCCUCUGCCUUGUCCAGCCACAGUAAGCCCUGCUCACACCAAGGAAGUCCGCGAGCUGAAGGUCUAGCUCGAUGCAGAAGUCACGUGCUGCGUUUUCACUCCCAGACUAUAUCAGCACAAAUCUGGCUUCCGUUUUUAUAAGUUCAGAAUUUGCUUUCUGCAAAUAUUGUCCAGUAUCUGUUUAAAAGUCAUGUUUUCAGCCUGCAGUCAGAUCACUGCCAUAAUUUGGAUAGAUCAUGUACAAGAAGGGCCCAGGUAGAGUCAGGAUGAAUUAUAUUAAAGUGGAUUUAGCAGUCAUGCAAACUUUCCCUUUUUAACAGCUUAUCCUAGCUCUAGUGCAAAGUCUGUGCUACCUGCAAGUGCUCGUGCUACAUGGUGCUAUGCACGGCUCUGUUUGCGCAAACUUGCUGUACGCACGUGUUGUGUCCUCUUCAGAAACAACCCUGAGCUCCCAAACUAACAGCUGGUUACCCUCAGCCCCUGUCUGGGGCCCGCUCUUUCUACCACAACACCCAGCACUCUGAGGUGUGUGCAAACAGAGCCUUGGUGUGUUUUUUUCUGCAUCUAGGUGUAUCCUGAGCUCUAUCAACCAGUUCUUUGACUUAAUAACCUUCUGUAUAUGUAUGCAAAUAUUUAUCAGAGAAGCUCAGAUUAUUUUGCACCUCUCCAGCUGUCAUGUGAGGAAGCUAAGCAUCACUGUCCCUAAAAUGUCUGGUGUUCACGUCUGUUCUCCACACAUAAUAGCUGAGCUGUAAACAAGGGAGCUGGCUCCAUUGUUUCUGGUGGGAUCUUGGCCAAGGGAAAACAGAGGUUGUCUUCAACGGUUUGGAGCUGCUGUAGGCAGACAAUACAUUGACUUUUGCCUGUGGGCAGCAUGAAACAUGCCUCUGCUUCAGCCCAACCGAGCAGCAGCGCCAGGCUCUAGAAGCAGCUGAGAGUGGACAUGAAUUCAAAGUAAGGCUGCGGGUGCAGACUGCUGAGAGGAUAGACCAGGCCCUGCGCAGCUGCGAUGUUUGUGUGGGGAAGUGUGUUGAAAGAACUAGUUUGGACUACCAGGCUCUUUUUCCUGUACACACUGAGAUCUUUAAUCUGUUGGAUUUGAACAAGAAAAGCCAGGGUCCCCCACUCAUUCUGAAUAGUUUAAUGAGUAAUGAUCAGGAGUUGUAGUUAGUAGCUAAUUAUUAACUAUUAGCUGCUGAAAGUAGUAAGAUACUGAUGAGGCUGCAAAGCGUUGUCAGAUGCAGAGAAUGAUCUUGCAGUUGCAGAAUGUGAAUAUUAUUUGAUGUGAGGUCCAGCCUGAGUAUGAUGAUGCUUCUAGCAGGCUUUUCCCCAGGAAUGCUCAUAAAUACGUUCUUCAGGUAGAAAGGCACAAGAUCAGAGGGCUCAGCCCCAAGCCAUAAUAGAACAGUAUGGAACAAAGUCAAAGUUAAGACACAAUGUGACAGUAGUUUUGGGAAAGUCAACAAGUGAACAAUCAUCAGAAAAGGUCCAUGUCAAAGCUAAGUCUAAAGUCUUGUAAGACCAGACACUCUUCAUGUUGGUCAUCAAGAUACUAUGAUGUACAGCCCAAUGUGUCCUGUUCUGGCCAGGUUUGCUUUGUUUCCUUGAAGACAGCAGGUAUGUUUGUGCAGUGCAAUUGGUCUAGAAAGCAGAAUGUAGGACAUUCCUCAUCUUCCUGACAUUUAGCCAUGCCUGGCACAGACUGUCCAAAAGUACAGAGGAAACCUUCCUGUUAUUAAUGGACUGCUUGCUCAGUUGCUUAUGAACUGUGCCGUUGCACAGCCUUUCAUGAAACAACGUAGUGAGAAUUUAUGCCGGCUUGAUCAUGAUGAGCUGGACAAAAACAAACAACAAUAGUUUGCAAUUUCUAAGCUGCUGGGCAACUUUCUUCUGAGAGUUCAUGUAUGCAUUUGUCAAGCACAGACAAAAAAGUUAAGUGGGAAGCAAGCACAAACACAAACAUAAUUUAAAAAAGUUUAGUGCUUUACAGUUUCAGUAUUAGUCUUGCUGGAACACUGAAACAUAUUUUUCAAUGAACUGCCAGUACAGAGACUUGCCUGAGUGUCAGCAGUUAGAGAUGAGUCUGUGCUUCGGGAGAACAACAGCGGACUUCCAGCAAAACCUCUGCAGCCAGUUGCAAAGUGUGCUGGAAGUAACUGCAAACUUUUCAAAAUACUACAACAUGAAAACACUAAUGCAGCUCUGCAUGUUCCUACCUUUUUUUUUUUUUUUUUUUUCUUUUUACAUAAGCCUCUGUUUGGGAGGGGAACAUGAGAUUUCAAGUGAGAAGUACCUGGCAGCCUGCCAAAGCGAUAGGUAGAUUCCACCGUAAGUUAUAUAUCUAAUUAGUUUUGAUGGUUAACUGACAGAAGCAAUGGAAAACAGUAAAACGGAGGAAGAGAGAGGCUGCCUGUGUCCUUAGGACAUUCUGAAUGCAGCUAAAACUGCCUUUCUGCUGACACAGGUCCUGCACAGCCCUUUACACACAAAUGCACCCCUGUGCAGUCAUCCAAGGGAAAUCACGCAUUGCUGGGAAGAGCUGUUCAGAGACUGAAUAAAUCUUUAUAGAAAGAA